ACGGGAGGCAGCAGUGGGGAAUGUUGGGCAAUGGGCGAAAGCCUGACCCAGCGACGCCGCGUGAGGGAAGACGGUCUUCGGAUUGUAAACCUCUUUCAGCAGGGAAGACAAAAGGACGGUACCUGCAGAAGAAGCCACGGCUAACUACGUGCCAGCAGCCGCGGUAAUACGUAGGUGGCAAGCGUUACCCGGAAUUACUGGGUGUAAAGGGUGUGUAGGCGGGACUGCAAGUCAGAUGUGAAAAUUAUGGGCUCAACCCAUAACCUGCGUCUGAAACUGUGGUUCUUGAGAGUGGGAGAGGUAGAUGGAAUUCCUGGUGUAGCGGUGAAAUGCGUAGAUAUCAGGAGGAACACCGGUGGCGAAGGCGAUCUACUGGACCACAACUGACGCUGAGACACGAAAGCGUGGGGAGCAAACAGGAUUAGAUACCCUGGUA
rnacentral:rRNA from 1 species